UGGCUCAGGAUGAACGCUGGCGGCGUGCUUAACACAUGCAAGUCGAACGAAGCGCUUCUAACAGAUCCUUCGGGUGAAGAUAGAAGAUGACUGAGUGGCGGACGGGUGAGUAACGCGUGGGAAACCUGCCCUAUGCAGGGGGAUAACAGUCGGAAACGACUGCUAAUACCGCAUAAGCGCACAGCAUCGCAUGGUGCAGUGUGAAAAGCCUUAACGGCAUAGGAUGGUCCCGCGUCUGAUUAGCUAGUUGGUGAGGUAACGGCCCACCAAGGCGACGAUCAGUAGCCGACCUGAGAGGGUGACCGGCCACAUUGGGACUGAGACACGGCCCAAACUCCUACGGGAGGCAGCAGUGGGGAAUA
rnacentral:rRNA from 1 species